UUUGUUUAUCAAGUUAUAAAUAAUUUCUGGAUGCUUGUAUGUAAGUGUUACAUUAUAACACGUUGUCCCACUUUGGAUUGGGGGACGGGGCGAUUGAAUAUUUUUCCUUAAGUAUGUAGUUAUCACCCGUAUACCACCGAUCAACAACUACUUGAGAAUCUACAUCACCGAGACGUAUUUUUCGCUACGAGGGAAAUUGCAUCACCGAGACAUAUUUCUCGCGACGAGGGAGAUAACCUAUCACUGCUAAAUUAGCCAAAUACACUGACGUCAUCCGAGGUCAUCAAGAUGGCAGCGUUUGACAAGUAGCCGGUUUUCUCAUAAGAGUCAAUGCUAAUAUUUUCGGAAUUCAUUUAAAUUUGAGAGUGUGUCAACUGUGUUUUUAUAGCUUGGUGAAAAUGCCUAAAUUUUGUGCUGUUGUGGGUUGCGCAAAUCGAAGCACCAGAAAUGCGGAUAAAUUUUAUAUUCCUUUCGCAGCAAUUAGCAACAAUAAUGGUACAUAUAUACAGGAUGGGGAAAAAGGCGGAAGCUUUGGUUAAAAGCCUUGAAACGAGUGGAUUUAACGAAGCCAAAGUAAAGUAUUCCUAUGUUUGUUCGGAUCAUUUUAUUUUAGGUACAGUACCUACCUAUUAGAUUUACAGUUUCUAACAAAUUACUACAUUAGUGCUCUUUUAGGUAAACCUGCACCUGGACCAUCCUGAUUAUGUUCCAUCACAAAAUUUAGGAUAUCAAAAUAAAUCCACUCAUAAUACUUGUAAUGUUGAAAGACACAGUUGUUUAAAAAAGAGAAAAUUGAAUAAAUGUCUCUAAACUUUUGAA